GACGAACGCUGGCGGCGUGCCUAAUACAUGCAAGUUGAGCGCUGAAGGUUGGUACUUGUCCCGACUGGAUGAGCAGCGAACGGGUGAGUAACGCGUGGGGAAUCUGCCUUUGAGCGGGGGACAACAUUUGGAAACGAAUGCUAAUACCGCAUAAAAACUUUAAACACAAGUUUUAAGUUUGAAAGAUGCAAUUGCAUCACUCAAAGAUGAUCCCGCGUUGUAUUAGCUAGUUGGUGAGGUAAAGGCUCACCAAGGCGAUGAUACAUAGCCGACCUGAGAGGGUGAAAGGAGACAGUGGAACGGGGAUACGGCCCAGGCUGCGAAGGGAGGGAGUAGUGGGGAAUAUUGAAAAAGGGGGGGAAGACGGAUGCAGUAAGGCUGGGGGCGGGAUAAGGGCCUUAGGGUGGAAAACCGGGGUCAGCAGGGGCGAAGCGUGUGGUGACGGGACAUAAAGAAGAAGCACCGGCUAACUACGUG
rnacentral:rRNA from 1 species